rnacentral:piRNA from 1 species
GCAAAAGCAAAGAGUGCCUGAUGACAGG